rnacentral:rRNA from 1 species
UGAAGAAUCUGCCUUCAACUCUGGGAUAACUCCGGGAAACCGGGGCUAAUACCGGAUAUGAGCCUUGAUCGCAUGAUCGGGGCUGGAAAGUUUUUCGGUUGAAGAUGACUUCGCGGCCUAUCAGCUUGUUGGUGAGGUAAUGGCUCACCAAGGCGACGACGGGUAGCCGGCCUGAGAGGGCGACCGG